GACGAACGCUGGCGGCGUGCUUAACACAUGCAAGUCGAACGGAAAGGCCCGCCACCUUGGUGGUGGGUACUCGAGUGGCGAACGGGUGAGUAACACGUGGGUGAUCUGCCCCGCACUGUGGGAUAAGCCUGGGAAACUGGGUCUAAUACCACAUACGACCAUGGCGUAGGGGUCAUGGUGGAAAGCUUUUGCGGUGUGGGAUGAGCCCGCGGCCUAUCAGCUUGUUGGUGGGGUAAUGGCCUACCAAGGCGGCGACGGGUAGCCGGCCUGAGAGGGUGGACGGCCACAUUGGGACUGAGACACGGCCCAGACUCCUACGGGAGGCAGCAGUGGGGAAUAUUGCACAAUGGGCGCAAGCCUGAUGCAGCGACGCCGCGUGGGGGAUGGAAGGCCUUCGGGUUGUAAACUCCUUUCGCCCGGGACGAA
rnacentral:rRNA from 1 species